ensembl:lncRNA
CCUAGAGUGAAUGAUGAGGACAUAUUUUUGACCUGUCUUAUAUCACAAAAUAUGGAUAGGUUUAAGAUCAUCCAAAUUAGCCGAGAAGAUGCUAAAGCAGAAAGGAACCUUCCCACAGAGACAGGAGAGUAUGGGUCUAAACUGGAUUUUUACUCAUAAUGCCUGCUUUGCUGACUUCCAGAAGUGCAUAUCAAUGCAUUCCUUCCCAUACUUGGACUGCUCAUCACACUGCUCAGUUUGGGACCACACGUGGCACGUGGGAAAAAAGUCUGAACUGGAAAAGAAAAAAAAAUGUGGUACUUUUUAGGGAAAAACUGAACAUAGCACGAUGCUACAACUCCACCUUACACUACUGCACCUACCUGCAAAUAUAUUCUUUCCUCUACUUGCCCUUUACUCUGUUCUCACAAAGUUCUACUUUCUCAUUUCAUGGUGUCGUUCAACACGCUGCCCAUGCAAAAUCCCAUGUCCUGUAGGUAAUCACUGCAGAAACAGUCUCUGGAUGAAGCUUUGUGGCCUGUGACAGGAAAGAGAUCAGCCUAGACAGUCCUUUCUGAAUUUAACCUACAAAAUUUGCCUCAGAAUCAUAGAAUCACAGAAUAGCUGGGGUCAGGAGAGACCUUAAAGAUCACCCAGCUCCAAUUCCCUGCAUGGGCAGGUCUGCCUUCAGUCAAGGCUUCAGUCUAACAAGAUUAUUUGAACAAUUUCCAUUGAGUAAAACGUCCCUUUCAAACAUUAUUUAUAAAAGCACCAUUCACUGACCUAUCCAACACAGAAAAGUGACCCACCACAACUUACUGGGGAACAGAGGUGGAAAUUAAAAAGCAAUUUUUCCAUUAUGAACUAACGAUCUGUAUUUUUUAAUAAGCAAAGUGCCAUAUAAACAUUUUAUGUGGUAUUUCAUCUUCAAGUAAAAAUAAUAAUAAUAAUAAAGAAGAGCCAAUUUGCCAACCUUUCAAACUAAAAGCUCUGUAGUUGCCAUUAUUUGGUUUGAUGUGACCCAUGCAAUCAAAUGAGCAAAGCCUUAGAAGCAGACAGAAAUUAGGCUUAGAGAAUCCAAUGACAAGCAAUAGCCAGGAUGUUUGAACUGAAGUGGCACCAACAUUUGUGGCAACAAAGACUUGCCCAAGCAUUAACUACUUGUUGCCAAAUCUACAGGUUUGCAAAGAGUUGCAGCAUCUGUAACACUUUUGCCUUCAUCUGCGGGUUUUCUAUUUCUGCAUGGUGUGAUGACUGGACGUCUGUUUGGAAACCACUACAAAGUGUUCUCAAGUAAUCUGUACAGCUACAGCAAAGCACAGUUUUUCAGGAAAAGCAGCUGUUGUAUUUUCUGGAAAAAAACACACAGCCCAUUUUUAAGACCUGAGCCCUGGUUCCUUCAUCUCAGUGCUUCCAGUGACUUCAGUGAAGCCUCUACUGGAGGAGAACACAACGGCUGUGACUCCACAGCUGUAAGCUAUCCAGGCUGCUUUCCAGUCACAUAAAGCAGAGCGCCCUCCCCACGGCUGCGCUGUUUUAUAUAUCUGAAAGACAAUUAGAGAAAUUAUCACAGUCUUCCAAGGAAAUUUGGGUACGUCAUCAUUUUUAAACUGCUACGAAGUUCCAUAGUUCCUGCUUUGUUACUGAACAGCUUCAGGACGCUCAGCAUCUUCACACUGCAUCUCUUCUCUCACUGUAAGAAAACAAGAGCAUAUAUGAACGACAGCAAAACUGCAGCCAAGCACGCUAUUGAGAAACUUGGUAUUCUCUUAUUUCUGGGAGAGUUACAGUGUAAUUCUAAACUGCAGCAUUCGGCAUGUCUCCUGAGCUUCCUCGCUGAAAUAUUGCGAUGGAAAUUGCACAGCAUCUGUGUUGCUUUUGGAAAGCAUCACCUCACAUCUGCUGUCUCUAGUGCAGAGCUUAAGUUCAGCGUAAAAAGGUACUUUGUAACAGGCAGUGGGAGCCUGACAGAGGUAAUUUACGGGCUCGCCCGGCUCUGCUGACCACGUUGGCUCAGCGCUCCGUUCUGCAGAGCUCUUUAACUGAAACACGGCUCAGAACGCCGUCCGGCCCGCGGCUCUCCGUGUCCCAAGCACAGGACAGGUUUUCCAUUCGCUGGGCGCUGUGCGGUCUCCCAGCACCUUACAGCAGGGAACCGGCCGUUCUAACUGAGCUCUCAAAGAACCGUGCGCUGCUCUGGGACAAGUUCUGACCAAAUAUACGUAUACGAUUGAUUUCAUAGCCUGGAACUGCCAAACAGCAGCGCGCUGCCACGUCCUCAGCAGUUCCGUGUCACGUCCGAGCGCAAUCGCUCCCCUCAGGUGGGCUGGGGGCGAAGAGAACAGUUCUGCAAAUUAUCGCAAUGAUUACACAGCGAACGCGUUUAUCGCGUCGUUAUUGCCCAUUUCCUCCUCGACGGGAGACCUGCUCGACUAUUUACAUGGGGAGGAGAAAGGGGCGGCGGAGGAUCCCGUCGGCACAGGCAGCGAACUUCGGGCGGCCCUUUCCCUCCCGCCCCGCUCCGCUCCGCUCCGCUCCGCUCCUCCGGCCCCAGCGCGGCGCGUUCCCGCGCUCGCAGUCAUUGCGGCCGCAGCGGGAGCUCCACGCGAGCGCGAAGCGCAACAGCGCCGCAAUUAACAAACAAACGCCCCGGCCUGGGCGGACGGCAACCCCCCGGGACGGCCCCGCCGCGCACCGGCCCUUAAGGUGGUCCGGAGAGGAGAGACGCGACGGCCCCAAGGAGGGGGGAGGGGGAGAGGAGACGGCGACGUCUCUCGGGACCGUCCCCUCAGCCCGGGCGCAGCGGGAGGGGGGCGGCUGUUGUUCCCGCACGGCGCCCGCCCGCCUGAGCCCCAGCGGCCGGGAGCGGCUGCCCCGGGCUCUGCUUGAGCCGUGCGGGAGCGCUGCGGCAGCCGCAGGGCGGGCACCCGGCGGCCGUUCACCUGCUGGGACGCCACAGUGCGCGCGUGUGGUGCUACUGCGGGAAGAGAUCCGGAGCACGCGGCUCGGCGGGGUGUCAGUGAAGGGGUAACAGCGAACUAGGCUUAAAACUCCGCAUUUCAGCCACCCCCGUGUCACUGCCGCGUACUUAUCCCUGUCACCCCCACGGCAGCAACGCUGCGCUUCAGCAGAGCCAAACCCAGACAACUCGUGGGCGCUGAGCCCGGCCUGGGCGCGUGCGGAGCGCGGAGGUCCGAGAGCGGCCGUCGCC